rnacentral:rRNA from 1 species
GACGAACGCUGGCGGCGUGCUUAACACAUGCAAGUCGAACGGAAAGGCCCUGCUUUUGUGGGGUGCUCGAGUGGCGAACGGGUGAGUAACACGUGAGUAACCUGCCCUUGACUUUGGGAUAACUUCAGGAAACUGGGGCUAAUACCGGAUAGGAGCUCCUGCUGCAUGGUGGGGGUUGGAAAGUUUCGGCGGUUGGGGAUGGACUCGCGGCUUAUCAGCUUGUUGGUGGGGUAGUGGCUUACCAAGGCUUUGACGGGUAGCCGGCCUGAGAGGGUGACCGGCCACAUUGGGACUGAGAUAGGGCCCAGACUCCUACGGGAGGCAGCAGUGGGGAAUAUUGCCCAAUGGGCGGAAGCCUGAUGAAGCAACGCCGCGUGCGGGAUGACGGCCUUCGGGUUGUAAACCGCUUUCGCCUGUGACGAAGCGUGAGUGACGGUAAUGGGUAAAGAAGCACCGGCUAACUACGUG